GAUCAUGGCUCAGGACGAACGCUGGCGGCGCGCCUAACACAUGCAAGUCGAACGAGCCGAGGGGAGCUUGCUCCCCAGAGCUAGUGGCGGACGGGUGAGUAACACGUGAGCAACCUGCCUUUCAGAGGGGGAUAACGUUUGGAAACGAACGCUAAUACCGCAUAACAUACCGGGACCGCAUGAUUCUGGUAUCAAAGGAGCAAUCCGCUGAAAGAUGGGCUCGCGCCCGAUUAGCUAGUUGG
rnacentral:rRNA from 1 species